CAUGAUGAAACAUAUAAUUACGUAUGUUUUGGAUUGUAUAGAAGGUAGUCGCAGUCGCCUCAAACCUAUUUGAUAUGAUUUUAAAUAAUCCGCUGUCAAAAGAAUUGGAAAAACAAAUUCUUUAGAAUUUGGAAAAGUUUAAAAAUUUUAAAUUUUUAACUAACUGU
rnacentral:sRNA from 12 species